UAAGAUUAUUGGAAUUGGACAUAGUACUUGAGCUUGAACAGUUGAACGAUUUGCCUGGUUGAUGUUUAAUCAUAUAUGUUUCUUCUUCUAUACUUUUGGUUUGAAAAUAAAUUCAUGCAAAAUCACUGUGGUGAGUGACUAGAAAAUCCUGACCUGGUAAUACUUGUUUGCAGAGCAUUUACUAGAGCUUUACAAUAUCUUAUGGGAGACAGUCAAUACUCAUAAUCUUAUCGGAUGCACACAAGGAUGGUUUGCUGCCUCAGUCUUUCAUCCUUCAUCAAAAUCAGCAAAAUUUUGGGAUUGAAUGUUAUCGAUCUCUUCUCCCCAUCAGAUGUUGAAAAAAGAAAUGUUCGGAAAGUUUGCAUUUGCAUAAGGGCACUAUCAAAGAAAGCCAGGUCAAAAGAGUUAAAGGUCCCAGACUUUGAUGUUGUAACUGAAUCUCAUCAUAACAUACACUAUAGCCAUGCCAAAAGAUAUGGUGGGGACAUUAGAAGAAGCUUGGAGACAUCGCAAUGUAGCUUUUCAAGU